GAGUUUGAUCGUGGCUCAGGACGAACGCUGGCGGCGCGCCUAACACAUGCAAGUCGAACGAGCGAGAGAGAGCUUGCUUUCUCGAGCGAGUGGCGAACGGGUGAGUAACGCGUGAGGAACCUGCCUCAAAGAGGGGGACAACAGUUGGAAACGACUGCUAAUACCGCAUAACGCGUAGAGAUCGCAUGGUCUUUACGCCAAAGAUUUAUCGCUGAAAGAUGGCCUCGCGUCUGAUUAGCUAGUUGGUGAGGUAACGGCCCACCAAGGCGACGAUCAGUAGCCGGACUGAGAGGUUGAACGGCCACAUUGGGACUGAGAUACGGCCCAGACUCCUACGGGAGCAGCAGUGGGGAAUAUUGGGCAAUGGGCGCAAGCCUGACCCAGCAACGCCGCGUGAAGGAAGAAGGCUUUCGGGUUGUAAACUUCUUUUAUACGGGAAUAAAGUGGGGCACGUGUGCCUUUUUGUAUGUACCGUAUGAAUAAGGAUCGGCUAACUCCGU
rnacentral:rRNA from 1 species